AUAUGUUAUGAUGCUUUUGAGUGAAAUACGUGGACUUUUAGAGGGGUUUUAGACCCGUUGAACACUCAAAAAGUCGACAUUUAUAAAUUAUUUAUUUAUUUAUUUCAGCUUCCGGUUAACUUCUGAUUGUUUGUAAAAAUAGUUUCGAUUUUUUAAAGUGUAUUGUGUUCGUGAGAAAUGAGAUUUGUGGAUUUUGGAAUGUAUUUUUUUAUCGUGUUUGUUCGAACACUUUUUCAUAUAGUUAUUUAAAUAUAGCUUUAUUAUUACUGAAGCUUGGAAUAUUUUUAUAUGUCCAGAAUUAAUUUAAAAUUAUGCCCUUUCAUAAUAUGUAAAGCAUUCCGGCCUAGCUCCAUUUUUGCGAGGGGUCAUUUUCAAAAUCAUUUGCGUAACGUAAAUAUGGCGGACGUGACGUCAUCAGCCGCCUUCAUCCGGGGACCGAGACCCUGGACCUUCCCUCCUCCCAGUGCCCUUCCAUUAGUAUUUAGUGUUAUUUCCUAUAUUUUCCAGCUGUUUUCAUGCAUAGAGAAGAAUAGAAAGAGGAGGAAAGAAGGAGAAAUGAAGAAGGAGGAGGAAGAAGAGGGAAGGGAAGGAGGAAGAGGAGAAGGAAAAGAAGAAAUAUUAAGAAAAGAUUUUCACUGAAUUUCCAGCGUUUUAAAGAGGAGGAAGAGGAAGAAAGGAGGAUGAGGGUGAGGAAGACGAGGAAGAGGAAGAGGAUUAAAUUUAUUGCAUUUUUCUUAGACAGUCCUCAGGAUGUCAACAUUGUAUAAUGGUACAGUGUUGAGACAGGGACGGUCGCGUUAUAAUUCACUAAUUGAGGUUACUUUUGAUAAAUAAACAACUAGUACGGAGUCUUUUAAGUAUUUUACAUUAUCUUAUACCGGAAAAUAUUAAGGAAAAGUGGCGUAAAUAAGAAAAAAAAGGCAAAGAUUAGAGAUGUGGGAUUUUAUAACUUGUGGUAUCUUAAAAUACUAGUAUAAGAUAAACCCUAUGCAAAACGAAUAAUAUAACCUUUAUUAAUCAUCAUAACCUAGAAAACCGAUAAAUAUAUAUAUAAAAACCAGUGUAAUUAGUAAAAAACAAAAAAAAACUGUCCCUGGGAAGUGAGACGGCCCACAGAGUCGCGCCAAAAACGUGGAUCUACAGGCCAGGCAUCUUAUGUUUAACCAGGUGUACAAGGUGCUGGCUUUCAAGGGCUCCUCCACACCUACAGACACACGCACACACCACCAGAUACAGGAAGAAUUAAUUGAUGAGCUACAGAACUACAGCAUCGUUCAGGUGGCAGCCGGAGACCAGCACUCUCUUGCUCUCACCUCCUGGGGCCUGAGAUCAGCUGAUCUUAAUCAGCAGCUGAUCUGAUCAGCUGCUUAAGUGUAAGCACAACACACUCCCUCUUUUGUACAACUUGAGGCAUGAUGAAGGCGUCAGGCCAUAAACAGUGCACACGCGGGACUGAGUCACUCGGUAAACACAGUGCAGUGGGCCGCGGGUGGCGCCAAGCAGUGCGCUGUGGUGGCCAGGGGACACACUAUGCCUUGCGCGGGAAUUUUAAUCGAUUUUGUGAGUACACAUUGAUUUUUUAUUGAUUUUAAGGCUCAGGGAAAAAUGUGCCGGAUACUUGAAGCUGCCGGAUACUGGAAUGCCGGAUGAGAGGGAUUUUACUGUAUAUUCAAAUUAUUUCUCCUAGACAGGUUAGGUUCUCUCCCUCUCCCCUCUCUCUCCAAUCUCCCCUCUCACUCUCUCUCUCUCUCUUUAAAGGUAUAUUAUAUCUUAAGUUGGGUUUUGUUAGAUUAGGUCUUAGUUCUCUCUCUCUCUCUCUCUCUCUCUCUCUCUCUCUCUCUCUCUCUCUCUCUCUCUCUCUCUCUCUCUCUC